UACGAAGGGUGCAAGCGUUACUCGGAAUUACUGGGCGUAAAGCGUGCGUAGGUGGUGAGUUAAGUCUGUCGUGAAAGCCCCGGGCUCAACCUGGGAAUGGCGAUGGAUACUGGCUCGCUAGGGUGCGGUAGAGGAGAGUGGAAUUCCCGGUGUAGCAGUGAAAUGCGUAGAGAUCGGGAGGAACAUCAGUUGCGAAGGCGGCUCUCGUGGACCAGCACUGACACUGAGGCACGAAAGCGAUGGGGAGCAAACAGG
rnacentral:rRNA from 1 species